rnacentral:rRNA from 1 species
AUGAAUAUCAAUGGGGAGAUUGGCCCUUACUUCCCCACCCUUUGUGGGGUUAGACAAGGUGAUCCUUUCUCCCCAUUCUUGUUCAAUAUGGUUGUGGACGCGCUUGCCGCUAUCUUGGACAAGGCCAAGACCGCGGGCCAUAUUCGUGGGAUCACCCCUCACCUGGCCAGUGGCUCCGGGAUCUCCAUGCUCCAGUACGCCGACGACACCGUCAUCAUGGUCGAAGGCUCGGAUGCGGACAUCGCUAACCUGAAGUUCCUCCUCUGCUUCCAACAAAUGUCUGGCCUCAAGAUCAACUUCGACAAGAGUGAUGUGAUGGUAAUGGGUUACUCCCCGGCAGAGGCCCUUAACAUUGCUAACCGCCUCAACUGCCGCUCCUUCCCCACGACUUACUUGGCAAUGCCUAUUAGUGACUCACGGCUUACCGUUGCGGACUUGCGCCCAACGAUGGCCAAGUUG